CGAGCGUGAAUCUCCAAUGUCCGACUGCACUGAAUGCAGCACGAGAUAACGUCAGAGCGGCCGGCAAGACACUGAUUGGUUGGAAACACUGAGUGGCGCGAAGCGAGGGAGCCAGGAGUCGCGAGGACAGGAGAGACGGGAGGAAAGAGCAGCUUUGCAAAAUAUGCAUAUUGAAUGAGACCAGGCUUGCUGUUACUCCAAAAUUCAUCAACAUUAGAUUUUCUUCACCUGUUAAAUAAAACCAGAGUCAGAGCUGCAACAAAACAUCUUUUAUUAAAACUCAAUAGUUUUACAACAUGCCUUCAGAACUCAAUUCGAAUCCCCAUAAAUGGUAUGGUAUUCAUUUCUCAAUUAUUAUUGAGAAAUGAAUAGCACUCUCCUAUCUGCCUGUUAAAUAUAAGGCUUCAGACAGAAACUGGUUAGCCUAAUUAAGCACAGACUGGAAACGGGGAAACAGCUAGCCUGGCUUGGUCCAAAAGUAACAAAAUCUGCCUACUAGCACCUUUAAAUCUCACUUUUAACCUUUUUACUGUGCGUUAUGUGCCUUUAAUGGACGUGGUAUCGAUCUUCUCAUCUAACUGUCCACCAGAUAGCGAAUAGGUCAGCUUUGCACUGCAGUGAACGGAGUCCAGAUGCAAAGCAUAUUUUAACCAGCUAAAACAAUCUAUAUCAGUUCUAGUGUACGUUGUAUAGAGAAAAUUCACACCGCUUUACAUCGCUGUCAGACGGCCCUUAUACCGUAUAACUCACGUAUUCCUUCGCAUAAGCGCAACUUUGCCCGCUGCGGCCGCACCGUAUUAUGCCGUAUGCGUAGGAAUACGUGAUGGGAAUUCCGGCUCUUUUUAGAGAACCGGUUCUUUUGGCUCGGCUCACUAAAAUGAGCCGGCUCUUUCGGCUCCCAAGUGGCUCCUCAGAUUUUUUGUUACUUAAAUGAAUUGAUUACAAAAUGAUGUGUAAAAUGAAUAUCUAAUGUAAAUACAUACAUUAUAUCAAAUGUUUAUUAUUUAUAUGGAUUUAUUAAUAUACUCAACAUGGAAUUUUAAAAUACAAAAACAAAGACCCAUCUCAAUUAGACAAAAAGCUGCUCAAUAUGACAUUUUUAACUAUGCAGUCUACACUCUGCCUUUGAAGCGUCUAUCACAUAUAUACAUAUAUGUCCAAACUUUACUACAUUUUCUGUCAUUCUCAUUUUCCUCACCUUUCCAGUGUGUAGUCUCUGUCUAUGUAGCAAGUUCUCUCGCUCUGUCACGUCUCCCUCCCACCUGUUCACAUGCUCACUGUGCCGUGUGUGUCUGUAACCCCUCCCGCCACCCUCCUGCUCCUCAGUGUAGAUACACAGACGCCGCCACACAUCUUGACCAAUCACGCAGCUUUAACAGAAAAAAAUGAGGAAAAACGGGGAAAAAAUCCGGAUCUGGCUCCCAAUCAGGAGCCGGCUCCCGUCGUUCACUUCAAAGAGCCGGAUCGUUCGGGACCGACCCAUCACUAGUAGGAAUACGUGAGUUAUACGGUUGAGAAAUGUAGUGCCAAAGGAAAGGGCCGUCUGACGGAGAUGUAAAGCGGUGUGAAUUUUCUCUAUACAACGUACACUAGAACUGAUAUAGAUUGUUUUAGGUGGUUAAAAUUCGCUUUGCAUCUGGACUCUGUUCACUGCAGUGCAAAGCUGAGCGUCUGUGCUGGAGCAGCUCUCUGCUUCUCCAAACUGAGGGAUCGCUGAGCAGCAGCUAAUGUAGCUAACACACCGACUAUAGAUAAGUACUUCAUAUGAGCCCAGUUCAAAAAACCCAAACUAUCCCUUUAACUCUAUCUAUCCGAGUUAGGGAUAUAAUGUGAAAAACGCCUGCUGUUGUUGCCGAUGUUCACCAUAUCUCUGGGGCUGGUGCUGGAAGAACAACAGAUUUUGCAGCUGCGCCGGCUAAAUCCAUUAUUCACACUAUAUCCCUAACUCGGAUAGAUAGAGAUAUGGUUGAAAAUCUGCAAAAUGUCCCUUUAAGAACAAUGUCCACUCAUAUAGUGGGGAAGACAAGAAUCCUCAUCUUUUGCAUAUGACUUACGCUCAAAGCCAUUCAAAGUCCAUGAAUGGCCUGAGGAGAGAGGAGACGUGAGGAUUGACUGAGCUGUUCUUCUUCUCAUGUAUCUUCCCACUUCUUUGGCUGACCAGCUUUGCUGUCUUGGUGCCACUGAUGGGGUUGAGUCCAAUGAAACAUCUGAAAUCACAAAAUCACAUGAAAAGAAACUUCAUGAAAAAACUGCGCUCACAGCUGCUCCACAAGAAAGAGCAGAAUAUCACGUUGUUCAAGACAAGCUCAUCAUUUGCCCAUCCAAUAUGAAAAACUGCAAAACAUGAAAAAACUAAAAUUAGGCUGUUAAUCAUUUUUCAUUAUCAUUUCAGUUGUGCUGUCCAGGCAAGCUGAACCAGGAAGUGGCUCUACAAUGCAAUGACUAAUACAGUGGAAAUGUCAUAACGGUUAAAGGGAUAGUUUGGAGUUCUUGUCAAAAGAUUGUAUGAGUUACUGACCAGUAGUAAUAUAAUUGCAUCAACAUAGCCUCAGGCAGCAGGUACUCUGGUUGGAGAUUUCCCGACUGCUUGCUCCUUGUACACCAGAUUCAGAUUCACUUUGCUAAAAUAAUGGGUAAUUACAGUCAAUAACACAAAUAAAACAUUGUUCUCACCACAGAGCUGACUUCGUGGCCGGUGUUUCUGACAUCAACUGUGCACGUGCUCCUCUUUCAAUUUAAUGCAAUCCCAUAUCAACAGUAUUUAACUGUAAUACGCAUCAUCUACAGUCAGAAUACAGCUCGCCUGUCAUUUUACAAUAUGUUACUGUGGGAAAAUGCUGUCAGCUACUGUCAUUAUUUUGGACCCAUGAUGCAUUGCCAUGUACAGUUAUACUUUGUAAAAUGACAGAACAAGAAGUUACUGUAAAAUUUGACUGUAGAAAUUACAACAAUGUGUUACAGUGUAGUUGCAAUGCUGAUUUUGAGAUGAUAAAAAUCAGGUUGAAGAACGUUAUUUCGCUAACUGUACAUGUAAUGUUAGCUAGGUCUGACGUUAGUUCUGUGUAAAAUAGGCUACAAAAGCUAAUAUUGAUUCAACGUCUGUCAACGAAAACAUUGUUAAGUUACUUUGAAUUUUACAGAAAUGAAGAGGAAAGGUAGCAUAGAAAGGUUUUUCUCACCAAGUACUAGACAGAAAAAAGGGGGAAAAGGAGAGUCCUACCACUCUAAUGGAGUUCACUCAGUUUUUGAAACCAUACGAGGAUGUUUUUUAUGAGUUGUUCAGCUUGUGUAAAAUAGCGGUUGUUUUACCUGUGAGCAGUGCAUCCUGUGAACAAAGUUUUUCAUCUCUCAGGCUCAUAAAGACUUAUUUACGGUCUACUAUGACAGAAAAGAGACUAUCGAGUUUGGCUGUACUCAGCAUUGAAUCAAAACGCACAAAAGCAUUAGAUCUAGAUACAUUUGUGAAGCGGUUUGCUGAGCAACAUGGAAAUCGCCGCAUUCAGCUGUUAUAGGAAUGACAACUUCAUGUUAUGCUCACUGGUGAGCCUUUACAAAGCUGUUAAAAUGAUGACCUCAACAGAAUCUGCACUUUAAAUUUCUGUGUGUGUGUGUGUGUGAAAGAAAAGUUUCAAAUGUGACACUGGUGUAAAUGGUGUAAACAAAAUGUCUAAAAAUUGUUCAAGCUACUGAGGGACAAAUGGGGAGAAUGUGUGUUCUGAGUAAACAAUAAAAGUCAUGUCCAGUACCUUGUUUGAGUGCCGUGACCCAUUUAUUUCCACAGUGUAUUUAUGCUCACCUUAGUACAGCUCAGUCCAUAGAUCUUCAUGGGUAAGUAUUUCUUUGGAUAGUUUCUUCUGGUACAAAUGCUGCCUGCAACGCUGCCUCUCUGACACAAUCAAAAACUGUUUGCUUCCCCUCUGAUACAUCUGCCACUCAUCACCUGUGUUUUACCUUAAUGCCUUUCCUGUGAUAAUGCCCCACCUACAGUAGUGUUACCAUACUUCUAUCUCCUAUUAAGUGAGAUCACAUUGUAUGGUCACUUCUUCCUAAUAUGAACUGUUUCACAUGAAACCUCAAAUGCAAGACAUUGAUUGCAUGAGAUUAAGUUUGUCUGUAUGAGUUUGUAAAUGGCAGCCCGUGCCCUUUUGUAGUGUGUACAUACUAUUUGUCAUCAAACUGUGAUUAAAUUCAGUAUAUAUA